rnacentral:rRNA from 1 species
UUUGAUCCUGGCUCAGAACGAACGCUGGCGGCAUGCCUAAUACAUGCAAGUCGAACGAAGGCUUCGGCCUUAGUGGCGCACGGGUGCGUAACGCGUGGGAAUCUGCCCUUGGGUUCGGAAUAACGUCUGGAAACGGACGCUAAUACCGGAUGAUGACGUAAGUCCAAAGAUUUAUCGCCCAGGGAUGAGCCCGCGUAGGAUUAGCUAGUUGGUGAGGUAAAGGCUCACCAAGGCGACGAUCCUUAGCUGGUCUGAGAGGAUGAUCAGCCACACUGGGACUGAGACACGGCCCAGACUCCUACGGGAGGCAGCAGUAGGGAAUAUUGGACAAUGGGCGAAAGCCUGAUCCAGCAAUGCCGCGUGAGUGAUGAAGGCCUUAGGGUUGUAAAGCUCUUUUACCCGGGAUGAUAAUGACAGUACCGGGAGAAUAAGCCCCGU